rnacentral:rRNA from 1 species
AUGGGCUGCUGCGUCAGCAAGAAGCGCGGCGAGCCGCCGGGCGCGGCCGAUGGGAGGAAGGCCGUCGAGGCCCGGGACCUGCCGCCGCCCGAGGAGGAGAAGGUCAAGGAGGUGCUCUCGGAGACGCCGCGCGUCAAGCCGCGGCCCAGGCCCAGGCGCGUGGCCGGUGGCGCUGUGGUGGCGCCGUCGGCGGAGAAGGCCAGGGCCAAGGAUGGCGGCACCGCCAGGGCGAAGGACGGGCAUGGCGUCGGCGGCAGGGUCAGCAGGCCCGCGCGCUCCGUCGAGGAGAAGUCGGAGGCGGCGUCCGAGUCGUCGGCCGCGACCACGGUGGCCGGGCCCGAGCGCUCCCCGUCCAAGCCGCCCAGGUGCCGGCAGGGAAGGGCCGCGCCCGGUGGCGAGCCCAGGCGCGCCAGGCGGGACCGAGACCACGGCGCCGCCGUCCCUGGCAGGCGCGGGCGCGCGUCACCGUCGCCUCCGCCCCCGCGGCGCGACCCCGGGCGCAGGUCGCCGUCGCCCGCCGCGAAGCGGGCGCAGGACCAGCGCCGCGACGCUGCCGGCUCGGCCCCGUGCGCGCAGCGGAAGCCGCCCGUGCCCGCGAGGCCGUGCGGCCGCGCUCCGACGCCGCCACGUACACAGGAGGCGCCUCCCCAGCCACCGGUGGCGGCGAAGCCGCACCCGCACGGUCCUCCUACGCACUGUGCAUCGCCGCCGGCACCGCAGGCACCGGAGCAGGAGUAUACGGAUACUCCCCCAGGCAGCGACGGCGCGGCCGGUGACGGUGAAGGCGAGGGGAAGGAGUCCCUGGAGAACCCGCUGGUGUCCAUGGAAUGCUUCAUCUUCCUGUAA